AUGUUUUUAUCAGCUGUUUGGACUAAUUCUGACUAUCUAUCUACUUUUCUCAAAAAGUGGACCAGACUGAAGAGCUCUGGCAGACGGGAUAAAAGUCAGUCAGGCCUCAGAGUCAGAGACAUGGCAAGUAUGAGCGUCAUCUUUGCCAAGGUGGGUGACUUAGUGUUCCUGAGAGAGUCUACAGUCAACCAGACCCGGGCUGCCAGGAUCUGCCUGUUCCUUUCCACAGCCGAAACAUGAUUUAUUCAAGAAGAAAAGAGAAUGAGUUGAAUUCACAUGCUGUUCACUCACCUUAACAUAAAACCUCAGAGUAACCUCAGAGAUCACUGAGAUGAUGAUGGCUCAAUAUAGACACACCUGUCCUGCAGAGAAACAUCUAUCUAUCUAUCUAUCUAUCUAUCUAUCUAUCUAUCUAUCUAUCUAUCUAUCUAUCUAUCUAUCUAUCUGUCUAUCUAUCUAUCUAUCUAUCUAUCUAUCUAUCUAUCUAUCUAUCUAUCUAUCUGUCUGUCUGUUGAAAGUUUGAAAUCUGAACAAUAAAUAUGUUGAUACGUACAAGUGCAUUCUAAACUAUGAAAGCACAUAAUGUUAACACUUUCUGGUUUUUGUAAUAUAGACACAUUCUGCUGUUCAUAUUGAGUAGAAUUAGUAAGACUUCUUCUGUACUAAUGCCUAACGUCUAUGGCUGUUGUUAAGCUUUUAAGCCUUGCGUUGAAAGAGCUGAAAUGAAAAGGAAGCAGAUGGGUGUAUGUGUAGGCAGGGUCAGCCCGAAGGCCUGUUCCCAGAGCUGGAGAAUCACAGGGACUAGCCAAACUCUGCAGACCCCCAGAAAUCGGUGGCCAGCCCAGUACAAAACUGGGAGAAGGUUCUGCCUUUGAGGUCCAGUUUAACCACAGCCAUACAUUCACAUGCGCACAUACACAAAUAUAUAAGCAUGUGCCUGCAAAUUUUUAAUGUUACUAAGAGAGGACCUUCUCUCUUCCCAGUUUCCUGGGGCUGAACUAAGAGUGACCAGCCUGGCUAUCCUUCAGCCCUGAUGGAAGGAAUGUAACCCAACACUCUCUGCCCUAUCUUGGCGGCUUGUAUGUCCGCGUAUGUGUGCGCGCACACAAACAACAGGAUGAUUGAGACACAGAAUCACCUUUUUCCAUUUACUAAGGAAACAACUACAAUAUAAAGAGAUAUAACGGUGGUUCUUUUCCAAAAAACACAUUUGCCAUAUAAGAAUUAACAGUCAAAUGUUUAAAAUGGUGUCUAAAAUGUUGUUUUAUUCUAUCUACAAUGGCCUCCUACAAAAACAUCUACUAUAAUAUAAUGAAAUAGCAAAAUUUAUGUUGCUUGAAUAAAAUAUUCUGUCAGAAUACACAGCUAUUUUUUUAUUUUGUAACUUUUCUUUUACAUUUUUAAAAUGUAAUAUUUCUUUUCUUUUCUUAUUUUAUUUUAUUUUAUUAUUAUUAUUAUUAUUAAUAUUUAUUUAUUUAUUUAUUUAUUUAUUUUUGAUGGUGUUGUUACUACAUCUACUAGCAGUGCCAAUUUCCAUGCUACCAGCCAAACUUUACCCCCUAGUCUGCCAUGUUGGGAUCACAUGACCAGCUAAAUAUCACUCAUUUUAUUUCAGUAACAUUAUUGGACAGAGGAGUUUAUUCCCCUCUGAGUUGGGGAAUAAACUACUCAAGGGAAAAAAAAAACAUGCCUGUGAGAAUAAUGUAUUUCUACAAUGGUAUUUGAAACCUGGUAUUGGCCAGCAAAAAAAAAAAAAAGACUUGUUAGUACACUGGAGACUGAAUGUUCUUAACUGAUUACAGUUGUUUUUGUGGUUUGUGAAAAUGUCAUUUUCGUGCAGUCUCGCACACAUGGUCUUCAUGAAAGACGUCAGUGCUCUAACAUCAGACAGAUAUCUUUGAACCGGACUGGACAGAUUUGUGUCUUGCCAACAUGUAUCUCUUUGGUGACUCUCCCAUUCGUUUGUACAUUAGAACACAGACUCGUGUGCAAGGUUAAAGAGAAAGUUUUAUCAAUGAAGACUUGUGCGAUAAUAAACAGGUUUAUAUCUAUAAAGGGAGAACUUUAUUAGCCUAUAAAAGCUGCUCCCAGUACAGCUAGACAGGCAAUUAUCCAGCUGUCUGCGUUCCCCCUCCCACAUAGUAUACACUUCUCCAGGCGCGAGAGGGAAAGCAGAUGUAUAGUCUGCUGAGGUUUGCUAGUGAUGUGUAAACUCUUGUGUCUGGGGCACGAAAUGCUGUAAGUGAGUGGGAUAGUGGAAUUUUCACUUGUCCCAGCUGUCUUGACCUCUCAGUAUAUCCUUGUGGCUGUCUGAAGAGAGAGAAGAGACACAGGUGCUUCCACAGGAUCUCAGAUGGGACUGCAUGAAACAGGACACCACCGUCGCUCCCAGGCAUCCAGACAACACCUCUGCAAAUCUACCCAGCCAGACAAACUUGCCAACGAUUCACACAGACACAUCACGCCAGCUCCGGCUCAUUUUCAGGAACUUUCCAAAACAGAAAAGGGGAUAGAAUUUUAUU
rnacentral:lncRNA from 12 species